rnacentral:rRNA from 1 species
UAAUUGAAGAGUUUGAUCAUGGCUCAGAUUGAACGCUGGCGGCAGGCCUAACACAUGCAAGUCGGGCGGUAACAGGGAGAAGCUUACUUCUCUGCUGACGAGCGGCGGACGGGUGAGUAAUGUAUGGGGAUCUGCCUGAUGGCGGGGGAUAACUACUGGAAACGGUAGCUAAUACCGCAUAAUGUCUUCGGACCAAAGCGGGGGACCUCCGGGCCUCGCGCCAUCAGAUGAACCCAUAUGGGAUUAGCUUGUAGGUGAGGUAAUGGCUCACCUAGGCGACGAUCCCUAGCUGGUCUGAGAGGAUGAUCAGCCACACUGGGACUGAGACACGGCCCAGACUCCUACGGGAGGCAGCAGUGGGGAAUAUUGCACAAUGGGCGCAAGCCUGAUGCAGCCAUGCCGCGUGUAUGAAGAAGGCCUUCGGGUUGUAAAGUACUUUCAGUCGGGAGGAAGGUGGUAAGGUUAAUAACCUUA